ensembl:misc_RNA 7SK 7SK RNA
GGAUGUGAAGGUGAUCUGAUUGUGACAUUUGUCACUCUACGCUUCACCAGGGGUGAUUCAGCUGACAUGGCUGGUUGGGUGGGUGUCCCCUACCUCCCUCACUGCUCCAUGGGUGCUCCUCCUAAAGCUUGGUUGAACAAGACCAUCCCUGAUAGAGGAGAACCAGUCUUCAGUGAAGGGUAUAUGAGUAGCUAUGCUACCCUGCUAGAUCCUCCAAACAAGCUCUCAAGAGGUAAUGUCUUUGUGAGAUAAUUAGGCCUUGAGAGUAGAACCUUAUAAAAGGAACCCCAGAGAGUUGACUUGUUCCUUUU